GAUGAACGCUGGCGGCGUGCUUAACACAUGCAAGUCGAACGAGAAGUGGAGACGGACACCUUCGGGCGGAAGACUUUACUUCGAGUGGCGGACGGGUGAGUAACGCGUGGGUAACCUGCCUCAUACAGGGGGAUAACAGUUGGAAACGACUGUUAAUACCGCAUAAGACCACAGCACCGCAUGGUGCGGGGGUAAAAACUCCGGUGGUAUGAGAUGGACCCGCGUUCGAUUAGCCAGUUUGCGGGGUAACGGCCCACCAAAGCGACGAUCGAUAGCCGAUCUGAGAGGAUGACCGGCCACAUUGGGACUGAGACACGGCCCAAACUCCUACGGGAGGCAGCAGUGGGGAAUAUUGCACAAUGGGGGAAACCCUGAUGCAGCGACGCCGCGUGAGUGAAGAAGUAUUUCGGUAUGUAAAGCUCUAUCAGCAGGGAAGAAAAUGACAGUACCUGAGGAAGAAGCCCCGGCUAACUACGUG
rnacentral:rRNA from 1 species